GGUCGCCAUGACCGGUCCCGCCCCGCUCCGCCAGUGGCCAGACCGGCGCGGGGAAGAACGAAUGACAAGACGUAACACGCCUUUAGAAAGAUGGCGGCGCGCAGGCGCGGGUUUCCCUUGGCGCUUUCCGGCCGCCUGCUGCGGAGAGAGCAUCAAGGUUCCGCCCUACCCGUCAGGAACUGGCCAGCCCAGGUCUUGCCUUUCAGAAUUCUCUAAGAACAGGACAUCAGCAUGAGUCCCUGGGAUGAGUCAUCAAAAUAAUAUCUGGAGGAACAUGAAGAGUGUCUGGAGGAAACUAAAAAGCAACAGCAUGGGUUUAUUUUAAAAUAUUUUUUCUUCUUACUCCUCUUCCUCCUCCUCCUUCUUUUCUUCCUUUUUUUUUUUUUGAGACAGGGUUUCUCUGUGUAGCCCUGACUGUCUGGAAAUUGCUCUGUAGACCAGGCUGGCCUCAAACUCAGAGGUCUACCUGCCUCUUCUUUCCAAGUACUGGGACUAAAAGUGUGUGCCAUCACCCCCUGGCCAAUUCUUUUUUAACUUACUUAUUUAUUUUAUGUAUAUGAGUACACUGUCGUUGUCUUCAGACACACCAGAAGAUCCCAUUACAGAUGGUUGAGAGCCACCAUAUGGUUGCUGAGAAUUGAACUCAGGACCUCUGGAAAAGCAACCAGUGCUCUGAACUGCUAAGCCAUCUCACCAGUUCCCCAAUUCUAGUUCUUAACCAGGGUAUGAGAGGUCUUCUGGUAGGGGAAUCAAAUUUUAUUAAAGGUGAGAGUAAAACUAGACCAUAGUAGGUUUCAUGGUUGAACAAAUGUUGAACAUGCUGAUGUUCACGUUGAACAAGUUUGAUGUACAUCUUUAAAACAACAAAAAUCAAACUUACUAAAACUCCCCGCAGCAUCUACAUUUAACUUAAUACUGUUUUCCUGUUGGAGUAACACAGCCGUACUGCUGUCCCACAGACCUAUAAGCAGGAAGCAGUGAGAAGCUUGCUGGGAUUAUGGAGCUCCUGAAGUUAAAUAGGGCUGUUCCCUUAGUACUUUCAAGGAAGGAGUAAGCCCCUUUCUCUAGUCUUUAACCACAAUGCCUGCAAACCAAUCACAGCAAAGACAAAUACUCUGAUGUCUAAGCUAACAAGGUGCUGCCGAGAGCAGGCAGAGAAGAGCUGGCUGCUGCACAGCACUUUUCUCCACAUCACCUUGCUGACUGUCUUUAAGACUUUAUGUACCCUUGGCUGACCUCAAACUCAAGAGAUCCACCUGUCUCUCUCUGCCACCCAUGAGCUGGGACUAAGACUGUGCCCCCAUACCCAGCUCAGCCUCUGCUUCUCAAUGCAGACAACAUCACAAGACCUAAUUUCAGUUCAAACUCAUUUCCCUUUAUUAAAGUCCAAGUUACUAUUACAUGGUUUGAUACUCAAAGGAAAAUUUGUUCAAAUAAAACAUUUCCAGGCAACUGUUUCAAUCAAGUAGCAAUAGCAGUUAAGUCCUUAGGAAGCCCAUCUGCAGAGAGGGAGAGAAAAAAAAAAGCACAGAAUUAGCCAGUAAAGUGCUAAAAUGAAGACAUUUUAUUUAAAAUAACCUUUGGAACUACAGCCCCAGGAAACAGCCUCCACCCUGGAGCACUUCCUGCUUUAAUACAGCCUCCGUCAAUUUACAAGGGCCUGACUUUGUAGCCUCUUCAUCAUUUACACCACUGGUACUUAGCCUUUUUUUCCUAAUCAGAAAAGUUUAAAGCCAGGUAAUCCUAGCAGUCAGAACAACAUAGACAGGAUAGUAAUUUCAGAGCUGAUCAAGAUGGCUGAGCAGGUAAAGACACUUGCUGCAGAGCCAGACAACCUGAGAUGAAGCCCUCGGACUGACAUGAUAGGAAAAAACUGACUAGAAAAAAAUGUCUUCUGAAUUUCACACCGUUGCUGUGGCACAAACACACACAAAAACCCACAGGACAGUGCUGCCAUCAGCCCACCACUCUUUGAACUGCUACUUACCGAAGGGAGUUUACACUUUGUCAAGGCCCAGCUCCUCUGGAGUGGAGAUUCCCAAUUCAUUUAAAGUUGGUCUAAGUUCCUGGAUGACAUAGGGAUAGAUUUCCUUAUGAGGUCCUGCUUUGUCCUGUUGCCAAUGAGAAUAGUCUGUUAACAAAUGAAACUGCAGGGCUGGGGUUAGACCUCAGUUGAUAGAAGCCCACCAGCUGUUCAGAAGGCCUUUCAGUUGGGCCUCAGAACCACAACCCAGGUGUGGACUCCUGUAAUUUAGUAGAGACAGCUCAAGUAUGAGAAGCUCAAGGUGGUAAUGACAGAAUUUUGAAAAGGUAAUUAAACAUGCCCAUCAGGCAUCAGAAGAAUUAAAUUAACAGAAGGGAAGUUUCUUAACUUGCUUCCAAUUUAAAGGACUGACUUUAUCAACUACCAGUGCUGAGUGGACGGACAGCUCCAGAAUCCUUAAUUAUCUUAGUCAGUACAGAUAAAGUAUUGUCACUUUCCCCUUACAAACC
ensembl:lincRNA Gm26631 predicted gene, 26631